UUUUUACUGUUUUUUACCUUCCAGAAAAUCCAUAUCAGAUGAGGUCCAAUUGCCAUGAAAGUUUACGUAGAUUUUUUUGGAAGAGAAGGAAACUUGGGAAUCAAGAAUGAGCUGCACACGAGGCCCAGGGGGAACUAGACAUUAGAGCGCGAAAGAGGCCCCUCGCGCGGCCUGGUGUCUAGUGUGGCCCUUGAGAACCUUCUCCACUGCCUCUGAGGUCUAUAAAUACCCCAAUAUUCAGCAAACACUAGAGGAGUCGACGGAAAAUCAUUUCAGCCGCCGCAAGUUCCAAAGCCACGAAAUCCAAUCUAGAGCCCGUUUCUGAGAGGAACACGAUCACAGAGGGGUUCACCAUCCUCAUUGGUGCUCCACCGUUGAUGCAUGAGUAGUUCAUAUCAGACCUACGGGUCUGUAGGCACUAGCUAGAUGGUUUUCUCUCUCGUUUUGUUUCUCAAUGCAUUGGUCUCUUGGAGAUCCAUAUGAUGUAACUCUUUAUUUUGCGGUGUGUUUGUUGGGAUCCCAUGAAUUGUGAGUUUAUGAUCA
rnacentral:lncRNA from 1 species